rnacentral:lncRNA from 1 species
GGAGGUAACGCGUCUUCUGAUUGGCUGACGUUAUUUUGUUAUGAGCCGAUAGACAUAAUUUAGUCAUGUGACCGUGACGUCAUAAACGUUUUUUCAAGGUUUUCUACGGUUUAAAAUGGAAUUUAGAAUUAAAUUAUAAGAAAUGACUGUAAUAUUUUUUCUGUCUAUUCGAAAUAACAUAAAAAAAUGUGGUGCACACUGUUAAAUAACCCGCUACACGCGUUAUUCAGUGUGCACCAAAUUUUUGUUAUUUCUUC